rnacentral:rRNA from 1 species
CCUCAGCAGGCCGCGGUAAUACGGAGGAUCCAAGCGUUAUCCGGAAUCAUUGGGUUUAAAGGGUCCGUAGGUGGAUAAUUAAGUCAGAGGUGAAAUCCUGCAGCUUAACUGUAGAAUUGCCUUUGAUACUGGUUGUCUUGAGUUAUUAUGAAGUGGUUAGAAUAUGUAGUGUAGCGGUGAAAUGCAUAGAUAUUACAUAGAAUACCAAUUGCGAAGGCAGAUCACUAAUAAUAUACUGACACUGAUGGACGAAAGCGUGGGGAGCGAACAGGAUUAGAUACCCUGGUAGUCCACGCCGUAAACGAUGGUCACUAGCUGUUCGGGUUUCGAUCUGAGUGGCUAAGCGAAAGUGAUAAGUGACCCACCUGGGGAGUACGUUCGCAAGAAUGAAACUCAGAGGAAUUGACGG